rnacentral:rRNA from 1 species
GUUGAUCCUGCGGGAGGUUGCUGCUAUCGGGAUUCGACUAAGCCAUGCAAGUCAGAGGGUUCUUCGGAGCCCAGGCAGAAUGCUCAGUAACACGUCAAUAAUCUGCCCUUAGGUUUGGGAUAACCUUGGGAAACUGAGGGAAAAACCAAAUAGAGAAUAAAAGCUGGAAUAUGCUUUAUUCUUCAAAAGCAAUGCCUAAGGAUGAGUUGGCGGCGGAUUAGGUUGUUGGUGGGGUAAAGGCCCACCAAGCCUAAGAUCCGUAGGGGCCUUGAGAGAGGGAGCCCCGAGAAGGGCACUGAGAUACUGGCCCUAGCCCUACGGGGUGCAGCAGGCGCAAAACCUUUACAAUGCACGCAAGUGUGAUAAGGGAAUCCCGAGUACUUAUGCUUUGCAUAGGCUUUUGCCAAAGGUAAAAACUUUGGCGAAUAAGUGGUGGGAAAGACUGGUGCCAGCAGCCGCGGUAACACCAGCGCCACAAGUGGGGACCAGAAUUAUUGGGCUUAAAGCGUCCGUAGCCGGCUAAGUAAAUCUUUUGUGAAAUCGUUAAGCUCAACUUAACGACGUGCAGAAGACACUGCUUAGCUUGGGACCGGGAGAAGUUAGGAGAAUGUCAGGGGAAGCGGUAAAAUGCUAUAAUCCCUGAUAGACUACCUGUGGCGAAGGCGCCUAACUAGAACGGAUCCGACGGUGAGGGUCGAAAGCCAGGGGAGCGAACCGGAUUAGAUACCCGAGUAGUCCUGGCCGUAAACGCUGCGAGCUAGGUGUUGCAUAUUCUUCGCGAAUAUGCAGUAUCGAAGCGAAAGUGAUAAGCUCGCCGCCUGGGAAGUACGGUCGCAAGACUGAAACUUAAAGGAAUUGGCGGGGGAGCACCACAAGGGGUGCGGCGUGCGGUUUAAUCUAACUCUACGCAGAGAAUCUCACCAGGGGCGACGGCAGAAUGAAAGUCAGAUUGAAGGUCUUACUUGACGAGCCGAGAGGUAGUGCAUGGCCGCCGUCAGCUCGUGCUGUAAGGUGUCCUGUUAAGUCAGGCAACGAGCAAGACCUGUACCUACUAUUGCUAACGAAUUCUUUCGAAUGAUCGAGCACAUUGUAGGGACUGCCCGUGAAAACGGGAGGAAGGUGCAGGCAACGGUAGGUCUGUAUGCUCCGAAUCUCCUGGGCAACACGCGCGCAACAAUGGUAAGGACAAUGGGCUGCGACUCUGAAAAGAGAAGCUAAUCCUCGAAACCUUAUCUAAGUCCAGAUUGAGGGUUGUAACUCACCCUCAUGACGCUGGAAUCCCUAGUAAUCGGAUGUUAUCAUCGUCCGGUGAAUAUGUCCCUGCUCCUUGCACACACCGCCCGUCAAACCACCCGAGUAGGGUUUAGGUGAGAAUUACCUUUUAGGUCGUUCGAAUCUAAGCUCAGCGAGGAGGGUUAAGUCGUCACAAGGUA